rnacentral:rRNA from 1 species
GGGUCAGUAGGUUGGUCGUGCCACCGGUACGUACUGGUCUCACUGAUUCCUCCUUCCUGUAGAACCGUAAUGCCAUUAAUUUGGUGUUGCGGGGAAACAGGACUGUUACUUUGAAAAAUUUAGAGUGUUUAAAGCAAGCUAACGCUUGAAUACAUUAGCAUGGAAUAAUGAAAUAGGACGAUCGAUCCUAUUUUGUUGGUUUCUAGGAUUGACGUA